AUUGAACGCUGGCGGCAGGCCUAACACAUGCACGUCGAGCGGAGCGGCGGACGGGUGAGUAAUGCAUAGGAAUCUGCCUGGUAGUGGGGGAUAACGUCCGGAAACGGGCGCUAAUACCGCAUACUAUCAGAUGAGCCUAGGUCGGAUUAGCUAGUUGGUGGGGUAAAGGCCUACAAAGGCGACGAUCCGAAACUGGUCUGAGAGGAUGAUAAGUCACACGGUAACUGGACCACGUUCCAGACUCCUACGGGGGGCAGAAGUGGGGAAUAUUGGACAAUGGGCGAAAGCCUGAUCCAGCCGUGCGGCGUGUGUGAAGAAGGUCUGGGGAUUGUAAAGCACUUUAAGUUGGGAGGCGUUACCAACAGAAUAAGCACCGGCUAACUUCGUGCCAGCAGCCGCGGUAAUUC
rnacentral:rRNA from 1 species